rnacentral:rRNA from 1 species
AUAUUGGGCGUAAGGGCUCGCAGGCGGUUUCUUAAGUCUGAUGUGAAAGCCCCCGGCUCAACCGGGGAGGGUCAUUGGAAACUGGGAAACUUGAGUGCAGAAGAGGAGAGUGGAAUUCCACGUGUAGCGGUGAAAUGCGUAGAGAUGUGGAGGAACACCAGUGGCGAAGGCGACUCUCUGGUCUGUAACUGACGCUGAGGAGCGAAAGCGUGGGGAGCGAACAGGAUUAGAUACCCUGGUAGUCCACGCCGUAAACGAUGAGUGCUAAGUGUUAGGGGGUUUCCGCCCCUUAGUGCUGCAGCUAACGCAUUAAGCACUCCGCCUGGGGAGUACGGUCGCAAGACUGAAACUCAAAGGAAUUGACGGGGGCCCGCACAAGCGGUGGAGCAUGUGGUUUAAUUCGAAGCAACGCGAAGAACCUUACCAGGUCUUGACAUCCUCUGACAACCCUAGAGAUAGGGCUUUCCCUUCGGGGACAGAGUGACAGGUGGUGCAUGGUUGUCGUCAGCUCGUGUCGUGAGAUGUUGGGUUAAGUCCCGCAACGAGCGCAACCCUUGAUCUUAGUUGCCAGCAUUCAGUUGGGCACUCUAAGGUGACUGCCGGUGA